UGACGUUAUCUUAGAAUAAGCCCGGCUAACUCCGUGCCAGCAGCCGCGGUAAUACGGAGGGUGCAAGCGUUAUCGGAAUUACUGGGCGUAAAGCGGCGUAGGUGGUUUUUAAGUUAGAUGUGAAACCGGGCUCAACCUGGAACUGCUUAAAACUGCACUAGAGUAUGGAGAGGAAUGGAAUUUCGGUGUAGCGGUGAAAUCGUAGAUAUCUGAAGGAACACAAUGGCGAAGGCGGCUUUCUGGACAUAUGACACUGAGGUGCGAAAGCGUGGGUAGCAAACAGGAUUAGAUACCCUGGUAGUCCACCCUAAACGA
rnacentral:rRNA from 1 species